AUAUUGUAUCGUUGUUGGUGAGAGGAAUCCAUCUGAUUGGCUAUUCAGCUUAAGCGUAUUAGUGCACGAGAAGAGAAAUGGUAGUGAGGAAACCAAAUGACUGCCGAGAGGGCACACACAAAAGGCUCUUCUAAUUUUUCAUCUUUAUCUUCAUCUCAUCUGAUUAUUCCAAUACACAUAGGGCUGUCAAAACUGGCCAAAAAUGAUGUUUGAAUGUUUCUUUUUUAUUUUAAACUCCAU